rnacentral:rRNA from 1 species
AUGUACAAGUUGUACAAGAGCGAGCUGGACGCGAUCACGCCUGAGCAGGUGGAAUGGGAGCCGUAUGGAAAAGGAGAGAGUUUUGGUAACCCUAUAGAGUUCAGGCUGAAUCCGAUGUGCACUAGGGAUAGGGAUCUCUGGCAUAUGCGGUGCCCACUGAUAUGCAACUGGGCGGUUGAGCUUCACCUGCCACAUCGGGUGUUCCGCCAGUUUGGUUUGUUCCAGCCACACCCGCCAGAGUGGGAGGACACGGACAAGUUGCUACAUGCGUUGGAUAGGAUAAAGCAGCGGAAGAUCAAGGAUUGGGCCAAGCAUCACAGGAAGUAUGACAUACAGUUCGCGCUUUGUGUGGAGCAAGCCAGGGCUGGAAAACGAGCCCAGCUUCGUGAGCACUGCCCGAUCGCGUUCAACAACUAUCUCACAUGGUUUCUUGCAAGUACCUGUGUGGAGGUAUGCAAGCCGGCGUAUGCUGAGGAGAUUUUGGAAGAUCCCAACCAUUUUGAUGAGGUAGCCCAGCACCAGUACAACGCAUUAGUCAGGAAAGGCAACUCAGUGAUCCCUUCAGCUCCAAUGAUGAACUUUGUGCGUGCUCAGAUCAAGAAAGCAGCUGAUGAGACCGAGACUAUUCUGGAAACAACCCCGGUUGGCAAAAGCGAUGGGGAAGGUGCACUUCGAGCAUUCAUUAAGCGCCAGGGCCAAAAGUUAAGGCAGCUAUCAAACCUGUUCGGUUGUCGUGACCCCGAGUAUGUAUCACCAAAAUGGUCUAGGUCGGCGACACCAUCAGAUCCCACUUUGGGCCAGGGCCAUGUUGAUCCUUUGGAGGAUGAGGAUGUGGGUGUGGUCACCCAAGAGGUUGCUGAUGAUAUGACCUUGGGGACGUACCAGGUUCGGUCUGCAUACGAGUUAAAGCCUAGGAAGGGAAUCAACAAGUACACACCUGAAGACUUCACCCAAAGAGGCAAAAGGACGAUCGGCACCUCGCGGAUGGCGGCUUUGGAUGACUAUUUGGAUGAUGAUGUGGAUGACGUGGAGGAACCGCAGUCGGAGCCGGAGCGGGUUGCUCUUCCUAGGAAGGCGAAGAAGAUAUCCAGCAAGAGGGGGGAGGAGCCAAAAAGCACUCAAGGAACUAGUCAUCGUCCUCUAUUUUUAAUGGUAGCUCUAUGUUGGUGGUAG